UUUAAAGUCUGACCUGCCCAAUGAUUAUUUAAAUGGCCGCAGUAUUUUGACUGUGCAAAGGUAGCAUAAUCAUUAGUUUCUUAAUUGGAAGCUGGAAUGAACGGUUUGAUGAAAAAUUAACUGUCUUUUUUUCAUUAAUUUAGAAUUUUAUUUUUUAGUAAGAAAGCUUAAAUUUUAUAUAAAGACGAGAAGACCCUAUAGAGUUUUACUUUCUGUUGUUUUUAUUUUUAGGUUUUAUUAUUAAAUGAUUGUGAGUUUUGUUGGGGUGAUGAAAAAAUUUAAUUAACUUUUUAUUUUUAUACCAUUAUUACUUGAAUUUUUGAUCCUUUAUUUUGAUUAUAAGAUUAAAUUACCUUAGGGAUAACAGCGUAAUUUUUUCUGAAAGUUC
rnacentral:rRNA from 1 species